UGUCCGAUGGUGUAACGGUAGCACAACAGUUUUUGGUACUGUUUGUCGGGGUUCGAAUCCCUGUCGGACAA
rnacentral:tRNA from 2 species